rnacentral:rRNA from 1 species
AGUGAACGCUGGCGGUAGGCCUAACACAUGCAAGUCGAACGGCAGCACAGUAAGAGCUUGCUCUUACGGGUGGCGAGUGGCGGACGGGUGAGGAAUACAUCGGAAUCUACUUUUUCGUGGGGGAUAACGAAGGGAAACUUACGCUAAUACCGCAUACGACCUACGGGUGAAAGCAGGGGAUCUUCGGACCUUGCGCGAUUGAAUGAGCCGAUGUCGGAUUAGCUAGUUGGCGGGGUAAAGGCCCACCAAGGCGACGAUCCGUAGCUGGUCUGAGAGGAUGAUCAGCCACACUGGAGCUGAGACACGGUCCAGACUCCUACGGGAGGCAGCAGUGGGGAAUAUUGGACAAUGGGCGCAAGCCUGAUCCAGCCAUACCGCGUGGGUGAAGAAGGCCUUCGGGUUGUAAAGCCCUUUUGUUGGGAAAGAAAAGCAGCAGGUUAAUACCCCGCUGUUCUGACGGUACCCAAAGAAUAAGCACCGGCUAACUUCGU